GCCUGAGGACGACCUCCCCGCCAUGGGUGAUCAUUCGGGACGACCCGA
rnacentral:ncRNA from 1 species